rnacentral:rRNA from 1 species
CCUACGGGAGGCUGCAGUGGGGAAUAUUGCACAAUGGGGGAAACCCUGAUGCAGCAACGCCGCGUGGGUGAAGGAGCGUUUCGGCGCGUAAAGCUCUGUCAGCGGGGAAGAAGAAAGACGGUACCCGACCCAGAAGCCCCGGCUAACUACGUGCCAGCAGCCGCGGUAAUACGUAGGGGGCGAGCGUUAUCCGGAAUGACUGGGUGUAAAGGGAGCGGAGACGGCGUGGUAAGCCUGAGGUGGAAGCCCGCGGGCCAACCGCGGAACGGCUUUGGGAACUGGUUUGCUGGAGUAUGGGAGGGGUGAGCGGAAUUGCUGGUGUAGCGGUGAAAUGCGUAGAUAUCAGGAGGAACACCGGUGGCGAAGGCGGCUUACUGGACCAUAACUGACGUUGAGGCUCGAAAGCGUGGGGAGCGAACAGGAUUAGAUACCCUUGUAGUC